rnacentral:rRNA from 1 species
GAUGAACGCUGGCGGCGUGCCUAAUACAUGCCAGUCGAGCGAACGGACGAGAAGCUUGCUUCUCUGAUGUUAGCGGCGGACGGGUGAGUAACACGUGGAUAACCUACCUAUAAGACUGGGAUAACUUCGGGAAACCGGAGCUAAUACCGGAUAAUAUUUUGAACCGCAUGGUUCAAAAGUGAAAGACGGUCUUGCUGUCACUUAUAGAUGGAUCCGCGCUGCAUUAGCUAGUUGGUAAGGUAACGGCUUACCAAGGCAACGAUGCAUAGCCGACCUGAGAGGGUGAUCGGCCACACUGGAACUGAGACACGGUCCAUACUCCUACGGGAGGCAGCAGUAGGGAAUCUUCCGCAAUGGGCGAAAGCCUGACGGAGCAACGCCGCGUGAGUGAUGAAGGUCUUCGGAUCGUAAAACUCUGCUAUUAGGGAAGAACAUAUGUGUAAGUAACUGUGCACAUCUUGACGGUACCUAAUCAGAAAGCCACGGCUAACUACGUG